rnacentral:rRNA from 1 species
UACGAAGGGGGCUAGCGUUGCUCGGAAUCACUGGGCGUAAAGCGCACGUAGGCGGACUCUUAAGUCAGGGGUGAAAUCCUGGAGCUCAACUCCAGAACUGCCUUCGAUACUGGCGAUCUUGGAGUCCGGGAGAGGUGAGUGGAACUGCGAGUGUAGAGGUGAAAUUCGUAGAUAUUCGCAAGAACACCAGUGGCGAAGGCGGCUCACUGGCCCGGUACUGACGCUGAGGUGCGAAAGCGUGGGGAGCAAACAGG